GGGAAUAUAACUCAAUUUGGUAGAGUGUAUGUUUUGCAAACAUAAAGUUAUCGGUUCAAAUCCGAUUAUUUCCA
rnacentral:tRNA from 1 species